rnacentral:sRNA from 1 species
AAAUUUCUCUCGUUCAGCUAGCAAAUAACGAACGCUACAAACAAGAUGUAGAUUAUUUGGAACAUAUUUUUGAAAUCCUUUCUUUCGGCUUGUUGGCCAUACUGUUCUUAAUAGUGUUGGGAAAAAUUGUCGUCGGUGCAUUUCAUCAACAGCAUCAGUAACGACUUUACAUCGAAAUGAGACCUUAAAUUUCUAUAGAAGUGAUCCACAUUUUUUCGGAGGAAUGAUACUCCCAGCUUAGGUUUCAUUUUUACGAGCACUGUUCAUGGACAGUAUAGUUUGUCUUUGUAUUAACCCUUAUCAGGUUUUAUCUACAGAAGAACUUUAAAUGUCGUUUGGAGUAAUAUUACUCCAAACUUUAGCAUGCGUCCUUUAAGGAAUCUGGAAACAAUCGUUUUACCUCACUGUUUAAAUAUCUAACCAGCAUGUACUUCGAUUAAUUGUAAAUAAAUCUUUGAGAAUAUU